rnacentral:tRNA from 11 species
GCGGAUGUGGUGAAAUUGGUAUACACGCCAGACUUAGGAUCUGGUGCCUCACGGUGUAAGAGUUCGAGUCUCUUCAUCCGCACCA